UGUACUGUGGAUCUAGUACAACAGUCCAAGCAAAUUUUGCAAUGAAAUAACUGACUCUGCAGGAACGGAUUCGUUUCGUAUGAAGUUGACCAACAGUGAGGAUACUUCGACAUCGACGGCUGCGCCACCUUGCCGCCUCACUUCGUUUUAAUGAUAAGGAAAAAUGGUGUCAGCUUUGCCACCUCAUAUUAUGAUAUUACAAUUAGACCGUUUUGCCACUGGAAAAUUCUCGUCUAGUGCAAGCGGGAAGUUGGAGAUAUAAUUGAACUGUAAAAACACGGAAUUUUUUCAAGAUGGAACGCAUUGCUCGGUAGCGUCGCCUCACUUUACAUGAUUUUAGUACCGUGCUGUUGGUGGAGACAUUGAAUUUAUGGUGGAGGCAUCGUGUGUGGAU